rnacentral:rRNA from 1 species
GACAUAGGUGGCGAACGUUAUCCGGAAUUACUGGGCGUAAAGGGUGCGUAGGCGGUCGGGUAAGUCUGGCGUGAAAUCUCCAAGCCUAACUUGGAAACUGCGUUGGAUACUAUCCGGCUCGAGGAAUGGAGGGGAGACUGGAAUACUUGGUGUAGCAGUGAAAUGCGUAGAUAUCAAGUGGAACACCAGUGGCGAAGGCGAGUCUCUGGACAUUUCCUGACGCUGAGGCACGAAAGCCAGGGGAGCAAACAGG